UGGAUCAAUGAUGAAUACUCUGAAGUAUCUGAACCAAGGAUUUUGAUUAAACCUUCUAACUCUGAAGUCCAU
rnacentral:snoRNA from 1 species